rnacentral:misc_RNA from 1 species
UACGGAGGGUGCAAGCGUUAAUCGGAAUUACUGGGCGUAAAGCGUGCGCAGGCGGUUGUGUAAGACAGGUGUGAAAUCCCCGGGCUUAACCUGGGAACUGCGCUUGUGACUGCACGGCUAGAGUAUGGCAGAGGGUGGUGGAAUUCCACGUGUAGCAGUGAAAUGCGUAGAGAUGUGGAGGAACACCGAUGGCGAAGGCAGCCCCCUGGGCCAAUACUGACGCUCAUGCACGAAAGCCAGGGGAGAGAACGGG